CCUCGUCGAUGAGUUGGGGGCAGAUGAAGUGCACGUGCGCGUCGACGGCGCCCGCCGUGAGGAUGCGUCCGUUGCCGGCGAUGAUCUCCGUCUCGGGGCCGAUGACCAGGCGGGGGUGUACGCCGUCCAUCGUGUCCGGGUUGCCGGCCUUGCCGAGCGCGGUGAUCCGCCCGUCGCGGAUGCCGACGUCCGCCUUGACCACGCCCCAGUGGUCGAGCACGAGGGCGCCGGUGACGACGGUGUCGGGUGCGCCCUCGGCACGCGUCGUACGGGCCUGGCCCAUGGACUCGCGGA
rnacentral:sRNA from 1 species